GACGAACGCUGGCGGCGUGCCUAAUACAUGCAAGUCGAACGCAGUGGGGACGGGUGAGUAACACGUGGGUAACCUCCCAUCAGAGGGGAUAAAACUUGGAAACAGGUGCUAAACCGAUACUGAUGGAUGGACCCGCGGGGCAUUAGCUAGUUGGUGAGGUAACGUCGCACCAAGGCCACGAUGCAGAGGCGCCCUGAGAUGGUUAUCGGCCACUCUGGGACUGUGACACGGCCCAGCCUCCUACGGGAGGCAGCAGUAGGGAAGCUGCGGCAAUGGACGAAAGUCUGACCGAGCAACGCCGCGUGCGUGAAGAAGGUUUUCGGAUCGUAAAACUCUGUUGUUAGAGAAGCGGUAUCUAACCAGAAAGCCACGGCUAACUACGUGCCAGCAGCCGCGGUAAUUC
rnacentral:rRNA from 1 species